AUACAGAGGGUGCGAGCGUUAAUCGGAAUUACUUGGCGUAAAGCGCGCGUAGGCGGCUUAUUAAGUCAGAUGUGAAAUCCCCGGGCUCAACCUGGGAACUGCAUCUGAUACUGGUAAGCUAGAGUUUUGGAGAGGGAAGUAGAAUUUCAGGUGUAGCGGUGAAAUGCAUAGAGAUCAGAAGGAAUACCAGUGGCGAAGGCGACUUCCUGGCCAAAAACUGACGCUGAGGUGCGAAAGCGUGGGUAGCAAACGGGAUUAGAUACCCUUGUAGUCC
rnacentral:rRNA from 1 species